rnacentral:rRNA from 1 species
CAGGUCUUGACAUCCCGAUGCUAUUUCUAGAGAUAGAAAGUUACUUCGGUACAUCGGUGACAGGUGGUGCAUGAUUGUCGUCAGCUCGUGUCGUGAGAUGUUGGGUUAAGUCCCGCAACGAGCGCAACCCCUAUUGUUAGUUGCCAUCAUUCAGUUGGGCACUCUAGCGAGACUGCCGGUAAUAAACCGGAGGAAGGUGGGGAUGACGUCAAAUCAUCAUGCCCCUUAUGACCUGGGCUACACACGUGCUACAAUGGUUGGUACAACGAGUUGCGAGUCGGUGACGGCAAGCUAAUCUCUUAAAGCCAAUCUCAGUUCGGAUUGUAGGCUGCAACUCGCCUACAUGAAGUCGGAAUCGCUAGUAAUCGCGGAUCAGCACGCCGCGGUGAAUACGUUCCC